CUGUGUUGGUGUAGUGUACUCAGGUGAAUAUGAUAUUUGUGGUGUUACUCUGAGUGUAUAUCCCCACCGGGCGAGCUUGAAAAAUAUGCCCGGCCACGGUGGGAUUCGAACCUACGACCUUUGGAAUACUAGCCCAAUGCUCUUCCAACUGAGCUACGCGGUCAGGACGGUUCGACUAAGUGAUAUUUCGGAACAGAAUCUAGUUCCUUCGAUACCAAUGUAUUCUAGUAAUAUUUUUUUUUUCUGUGUUGGUGUAGUGUACUCAGGUGAAUAUGAUAUUAGUGGUGUUACUCUGAGUGUAUAUCCACACCGAGCGAGCUUGAAAAAUAUGCCCGGCCACGGUGGGAUUCGAACCUACGACCUUUGGAAUACUAGCCCAAUGCUCUGUUGGGGAUUGGCUCCAAGUAUCGCCCAAAAUAAAUCACAACAAAACACAGUAUAAUAUCUAUUACAAAAUCACAAGUUUCACAGUUUCACAGCCACAUGUUUUUUAAGUUCUCUCCUGGAAAAAA